rnacentral:tmRNA from 1 species
ACCCUUUCGCACGGACCUGAACGGGCCUAUAUUAGGGGUGCCGGUUCGUCCGGCUAUGGCGAUAAACGCCUUGCGGAAUAAGCGUAGUGGACCCGGGGGCAGUGCCCGGCGCCUCCACCAGUUUCUCCCGCCCCAGGGGACCUGUGGGCCCGGGGCGGGACCAACGGGGGCGAAACAGGAUCGACACGCGUGGUAAAGGCUUGGUUUUCGCCCGGCAUGGUAUCCACCGUUAUCGGGCCAUUUUGACAAAUGCCAACGACAACGAGGCAUUUGCUGUCGCCGCUUAAUAACCGGUGACAACGGGGUUCGGGGGGCACCUGGCAACAGAAGCCCCCCACU